CCUACGGGCGGCAGCAGUGGGGAAUAUUGGGCAAUGGGCGAAAGCCUGACCCAGCAACGCCGCGUGAAGGAAGAAGGCUUUCCGGUUGUAAACUUCUUUUUACAGGGAAGUACAGAAGGCGGUACCUGUCGAAUAAGCCACGGCUAACUACGUGCCAGCAGCCGCGGUAAUACGUAGGUGGCAAGCGUUGUCCGGAUUUACUGGGUGUAAAGGGCGUGUAGGCGGGCUGACAAGUCAGAUGUGAAAUCCGGGGGCUCAACCCCCGAACUGCAAUUGAAACUGGUAGUCUUGAGUAUCGGAGAGGCAGGCGGAAUUCGUGGUGUAGCGGUGAAAUGCGUAGAUAUUAGGAGGAACACCGGUGGCGAAGGCAGCCUACUGGACGACAACUGACGGUGAGGCGCGAAAGCGUGGGGAGCAAACAGGAUUAGAUACCCCUGUAGUC
rnacentral:rRNA from 1 species